rnacentral:lncRNA from 1 species
CUAAGACUUUGUUACGUCAGCAGACAGAACUUCAGUAAUAUGAGCACGUCCGAGCUUCUAAAAACUAUCUCUGUAGCAUAAAAAUCAGAAGCAAUGAAAUUUACCAAAUUUAUGAACCGGCAAAAGAAAUAAUUCACAACUACCAAAAUGGCCUUCAUAAAAUAGCCAAAAUUCCCAGCACCUAUUACCCCAAAAUGGGUUAAGGAAACUCAAGUCGGAAUGAAGAAGCGAAAACCAAUUUCAGAAUCCAAUUUUAACAACCACUUUGAUCUUUCCUAUGAAGAAAUUGUCUUUUCAAUUCUGUUUUUUUUUAAUUGACUCAAUUGACGAAAAAUCGUUCUUUCUAGUUGACUGCUUCUUCAAUAAACAUUAAAUACAAAGAUUAUUUUGGGAUUAUUCAGAUUUGUUAUUGUAAAGGAAAAAAUCACAAGAAUAGAAAUGGGAACCACAUUACCUUUUGAUUCUAUUAAGCACAUCAGUAGGAAGUCCAAUAAUUGGUCAAUUGUUUAUGAAGAAAAUGAAGUAUUUGAACAACUUUUACAUCAAGCCUUAAUUUCAAACCAAUCCAAAAUGUUGUGUCAAACAAAAAAAGAUCAACAUCAGUAAUAGCGUUAACCCAUCAAAUUUUAAAGCAAAACCCAAUUGAAUUUCAGCUGAUUUAAAAAAAAAACAUAGCGAUUGCAAAAUCGAUUAACGGGCGAGGAGACUUCCAAAUAAUUACAUAAUCACACAGUUCUUCUAAUUUACCAAUUGGAUACUAAAGCCAUUCAAACAAAGAGAAGAAGUAAACGUAUAGCAACACAACUAAAAUGCACAUUUUUACCCAAAAUCAUAAUAAGGGAAUAAAAGAAAUUAGGGCUUUUAGCAUAAGGAUGAAUUUUGGAGUGUAAGGGUAGAAAUCAAGAGGAACAAAGUCAGAGAGAAAGAAGAGUACCUAGCAGUAGCGAAAGAGAACCAAAUUCGCCGCCUAAGAAGAGUGUCACUGCAUCUAAACAUUUGUUGCAACUUCCCGUAGUUAUCCUACUGAGCAUGGGAAAAGAGCGGUGGGAUAUUUCAGAGUGUUUUAACAGGAUAUUUCAGGGGCAAAUGUUCUGCC